rnacentral:rRNA from 1 species
AUGAGCUGCACCGGCUGCGCCGCCCAUCACCGCCACCGCGCCGCCGUAGCUGCCGCUGCACCAGGCGGCCCCCGCCGCGCUCGCCGGGCUGCUGCAGCAGCCGCUGCAGCUGCCAUCCACCGCCACCACCGCCCCGUCCUGGCUGCCAUGGCAGCUGCCGCACCAGGUGGCCUCCAUCGCUCACCGGGCCGCUGCAGCAGCUGCCAUCCACCCGCCACCACCGCCCCGCCCUGGCUCCAGUGGCAACCAUCGCUCCUGGCGACCUCCUCCGCGCCCGGCGCUUCGCCGCAGCAGCCGCUGCAACUGCAGCAACCAUUGCCGGUCAGCUCCGGCCCCGCAUCGACCGCGCCGACGGGAGUCCCGAUCCACCAGAUCAAGUCCCCGCCGUCGCCAUCACCGCUUCCCCAGGGCGUCCCCAUCCAGCAGAUCAAGUUCCCGCCGUCGCCGUCACCGCUUCCAGCUUGGAUCACUACCCGCCAUGUGUCGGCGGCGGUGAGGCUGCAGGCUGCUGCACGCGGCCUCCUAGCGCGUCGGCGUGUGCGGGAGUUGCGUGGUCUGCAGCUGCCGCUCCUCCCAGUUGCGCUUCGCUGCGCAAAGGACCUCGAUCUCGUCUGCUGCGCCGGGGAUCUUGGGCAUGCUGUUUUCCCCACGGACAGCGCCCUCAAAGUCCGCGACAUCGGCGGUUGGGGAGGCGCACCCCUCCUCGACAUUCUCCAUCGACAACCUUCCACUCUUCUAUGUGCGGUGCCGACCAACAACCGUCCGGCGAGGAGAAGGCAUGGUGUCACCGACAAGAGCGCACCGCGUAGCACCACUGCAUUCCGCCGUCGGCCGCCGCGAGGGCGCCUCUGCUGGUCGCUCUUGCGACCACUUCCAGGUGGCCAUAUACAUGCACUCCUUUUGUCCAGAUGGUGUCCAUGGGAUCCAGUGCGGAUGGCAUCCACUUUUUGUUAA